AGCAGUCGCCGCGGUAAUGCGAAGGGUGCAAGCGUUACUCGGAAUUACUGGGCGUAAAGCGUGUGUAGGUGGUUGUUUAAGUCUGUCGUGAAAGCCCUGGGCUCAACCUGGGAAUUGCGAUGGAUACUGGGCGACUAGAGUGCGGUAGAGGAUAGUGGAAUUUCCGGUGUAGCAGUGAAAUGCGUAGAGAUCGGGAGGAACAUCAGUGGCGAAGGCGGCCAUCUGGGACAACACUGACGCUGAGGCACGAAAGCGUGGGGAGCAAACAGGAUUAGAUACCCCAGUAGUCCCUGUCUCUUAUAC
rnacentral:rRNA from 1 species